GCCUUAAUGCAGCCGAUGGCGGUCACAAGCCCGCAAGUAAUGCAGAGUGAGGC
rnacentral:ribozyme from 2 species